GAUGAACGCUGGCGGCGUGCCUAAUACAUGCAAGUCGAGCGAAUGGAUUAAGAGCUUGCUCUUAUGAAGUUAGCGGCGGACGGGUGAGUAACACGUGGGUAACCUGCCCAUAAGACUGGGAUAACUCCGGGAAACCGGGGCUAAUACCGGAUAACAUUUUGAACCGCAUGGUUCGAAAUUGAAAGGCGGCUUCGUCUGUCACUUAUGGAUGGACCCGAGUCGCAUUAGAUAGUUGGUGAGGUAACGGCUCACCAAGGCAACGAUGCGUAGCCGACCUGAGAGGGUGAUCGGCCACACUGGGACUGAGACACGGCCCAGACUCCUACGGGAGGCAGCAGUAGGGAAUCUACCGCAAUGGACGAAAGUCUGACGGAGCAACGCCGCGUGAGUGAUGAAGGCUUUCGGGUCGUAAAACUCUGUUGUUAGGGAAGAACAAGUGCUAGUUGAAUAAGCUGGCACCUUGACGGUACCUAACCAGAAAGCCACGGCUAACUACGUGCCAGCCGCCGCCGUAA
rnacentral:rRNA from 1 species